ACCAGAGGGAUCCUGCUUACUGCUGGGC
rnacentral:piRNA from 1 species